rnacentral:rRNA from 1 species
UACAGAGGUCUCAAGCGUUUGUUCGGAUUCAUUGGGCGUAAAGGGCGCGUAGGCUGCGGGGCAAGUCGGGUGUGAAAUCUCAGAGCUCAACUCUGAAAUUGCACUCGAUACUGCUUUGCUCGAGGACUGGAGAGGAGAUUGGAAUUCACGGUGUAGCAGUGAAAUGCGUAGAUAUCGUGAGGAAGACCAGUGGCGAAGGCGGAUCUCUGGACAGUUCCUGACGCUGAGGCGCGAAGGCCAGGGGAGCAAAACGGGG